rnacentral:rRNA from 1 species
UACGUAGGUGGCGAGCGUUGUCCGGAUUUACUGGGCGUAUAGAGCGCGCAGGCGGUCGUACAAGUCGCGUGUGAAAGCCCCCGGCUCAACUGGGGAGGGUCACGCGAUACUGUUCGACUCGAAGGCAGGAGAGGGAAGUGGAAUUCCCGGUGUAGUGGUGAAAUGCGUAGAUAUCGGGAGGAACACCAGUGGCGAAGGCGACUUCCUGGCCUGUUCUUGACGCUGAGGCGCGAAAGCUAGGGGAGCAAACGGG